GACGAACGCUGGCGGCGUGCCUAACACAUGCAAGUCGAACGAGAUCCAUGGGAGCUUGCUCCCGGAAGAUCUAGUGGCGAACGGGUGAGUAACACGUGAGAAACCUGCCCUGGAGUGGGGAAUAACUCGGGGAAACUCGAGCUAAUACCGCAUACCCUCGGAUGGUCGCAUGGCCGACCGAGGAAAGAUUUAUCGCUCUAGGAGGGUCUCGCGGCCUAUCAGCUAGUUGGUGGGUAACGCCUACCAAGGCAGCGACGGGUAGCUGGUUUGAGAGAACGAUCAGCCACACUGGGACUGAGACACGGCCCAGACUCCUACGGGAGGCAGCAGUGGGGAAUCUUGCGCAAUGGGCGAAAGCCUGACGCAGCAACGCCGCGUGCGGGAUG
rnacentral:rRNA from 1 species